rnacentral:tRNA from 1 species
UGGCUCAGUUGGUAGAGCAUUGCGCUUGCAAAGCCAGGGUUGUGAGUUCGAUUCCCAC